CCUACGGGAGGCAGCAGUGGGGAAUUUUGGACAAUGGGCGCAAGCCUGAUCCAGCAAUGCCGCGUGCAGGAUGAAGGCCUUCGGGUUGUAAACUGCUUUUGUACGGAACGAAACGGUGGGCUCUAAUAAAGUUUGCUAAUGACGGUACCGUAAGAAUAAGCACCGGCUAACUACGUGCCAGCAGCCGCGGUAAUACGUAGGGUGCGAGCGUUAAUCGGAAUUACUGGGCGUAAAGCGUGCGCAGGCGGUUAUAUAAGACAGAUGUGAAAUCCCCGGGCUCAACCUGGGACCUGCAUUUGUGACUGUAUAGCUAGAGUACGGUAGAGGGGGAUGGAAUUCCGCGUGUAGCAGUGAAAUGCGUAGAUAUGCGGAGGAACACCGAUGGCGAAGGCAAUCCCCUGGACCUGUACUGACGCUCAUGCACGAAAGCGUGGGGAGCAAACAGGAUUAGAUACCCUGGUAGUCCACGCCCUAAACGAUGUCAACUGGUUGUUGGGUCUUCACUGACUCAGUAACGAAGCUAACGCGUGAAGUUGACCGCCUGGGGAAGUACGGCCGCAAGGUUGAAACUUAAAGGAAUUGACGG
rnacentral:rRNA from 1 species